ensembl:snRNA U1 U1 spliceosomal RNA
AUACUUACCUGGCAGAGGAAAGGCCAUGAUCAAGAUGAUGGUUUUCCCAGGGUGAGAUUUAUACAUUGCAUUUAGGAUUUGUUGACCCCUGCAAUUUCCCCAAACAUGGGAAAUUUGGCUGCAUGAUUUGUGGUAGUAGGGGACUAAGUAUACACUUUCCCCUG